CAGAACUGGUUUUGCGAUUAUUGUCAAAACCAUAAUGCAGAUCUCAUUUUGGUGUGCCUACAAACCAAUAAAGAAUUUUUUUGUAAAGUGGGCUGUAAAAUCUUGAUCAGUUGACCGCAUGUUUUUUCUUUUUUUAAAUAAGGAGAGGUCCAGGCAUUGUAGUUGACACUAAUGGGGCAAUGCAAUCAUCACAUUGAUAUUUUUUUUGUAAUUUCAUUAUUAUGUAUCCGGAUAAAAAGGCUACUGAUGCAGAAUAGAGAUUCAUUUCAGGCAAAAAUAAUUCUUCUACAUGUUGUUCGGCAAAUUCAUCAACUGUUGAUCUUUGAUGGGAGAGUUCAUUGCAGCUAAUGUGACUUAAAGUUCUUGCAGUGUUGGCAGAUGACGAAGAUUUUAGAAUUCCAGUUCUUAAAAUUUGUCGUAAGGCAUAUUCAGCUGCACGAGCGUCAGUAGUAUCAUUUGAGCCUCCUUUUAAACGAAUAUGCGAAAAUGUCGCUUCCACAGCAUCUGAACUAAAUGAGCGAGUUAACACAUAAUAAAAUCCAGCUUGUGUCAGAAGAAAUUGGACACAUAAAAAUGUACUCUUUGCAAUAAAUUUUAGAGCAUGUGCUGUUUCGCUGCUUAAACAUUUAUAUCCUGUACUGGCUGAAGUGGACUGGAUAUCAUCUAUGUAAUUUUGGAAAGUAGUAUUCAACCAAUGGAGGCGUUGAUCUGAAAUGUUUACAUAUGGGGCAACGUUGCCAUCUAGUGCAUGAAUGUAAUGUCUUCUACUUGAGAUGUUAUGGACUUGAAAAAAAUGGAACAUAUUUUCCAUAUACAAAAUAGUUGCAUCACUAUCAACAAAGUCUUCAUAUUUCUCUUCUUUUAAUAAUUUUAGUGCUGAGGUAACCGUUGGGGAAAAUAUCUGCACAGCCCGCAAAACAUUCAUUUUUUCAAGAUUUGAAGGAUAUAAAUGCUUUUUUGUAAGAUAUCUGACGGGUUUCAAAGGCCAUCCUCUUUGCAAACCGUAUAAGGCCUUUAAAUAGGACGAGGAGAUAACACCGGUUGUCGAAUUCAUAUUAUGACUUAAAAAAAGGUUCCUGGCAUUUUUAAUGGCAUGGCAAUAGUCAAAUGAUAAAAAUAUGGGCAUAGGAAGAUAUGGGUGAUUAAAAUAAUUUUCUAGAGUUCCUCCACACAAGUUCUUGAACAAACCCACAUUGGGCGGAUGGUUAUCUGUUACAAUGCGUAAUACCAUAAAACCACAAUCUGUGAGAAGUUUAAUAACUUGCAAAGUUAAAGAAUGAAAAUCAGAGGCCGGCAUUGAAGAAUGGAAA